rnacentral:ncRNA from 1 species
UGGUAGGGGUGCUUGGACAGUUGUCCAGGCUGAGAUUACACCCGUAGAACCUGAUUCGGAUAAUGCCGACGUAGGGAAACUG